rnacentral:rRNA from 1 species
CAGUCGCCACGGUAAUACGGAGGGUGCAAGCGUUAAUCGGAAUUACUGGGCGUAAAGCGCACGCAGGCGGUCUGUCAAGUCAGAUGUGAAAUCCCCGGGCUUAACCUGGGAACUGCAUUUGAAACUGGCAGGCUAGAGUCUUGUAGAGGGGGGUAGAAUUCCAGGUGUAGCGGUGAAAUGCGUAGAGAUCUGGAGGGAUACCGGUGGCGAAGGCGGCCCCCUGGACAAAGACUGACGCUCAGGUGCGAAAGCGUGGGGAGCAAACAGGAUUAGAUACCCCUGUAGUCCCUGUCUCUUAUAC